rnacentral:rRNA from 1 species
CAGUAGCCGCGGGAAAACGAAGGGGGCUAGCGUUGCUCGGAAUGACUGGGCGUAAAGGGCGCGUAGGCGGCAUGUACAGUCAGACGUGAAAUUCCUGGGCUUAACCUGGGGGCUGCGUUUGAUACGUGCAGGCUAGAGUGGGGAAGAGGGUUGUGGAAUUCCCAGUGUAGAGGUGAAAUUCGUAGAUAUUGGGAAGAACACCGGUGGCGAAGGCGGCAACCUGGUCCUUGGCUGACGCUGAGGCGCGAAAGCGUGGGGAGCAAACAGGAUUAGAUACCCCAGUAGUCCCUGUCUCUUAUAC